rnacentral:rRNA from 1 species
CCUACGGGCGGCAGCAGUGAGGAAUAUUGGUCAAUGGGCGAGAGCCUGAACCAGCCAAGUCGCGUGAGGGAGUACUGCCCUAUGGGUUGUAAACCUCUUUUGUCGGGGAGCAAAAGCCGGACGUGUCCGGCUGUGAGAGUACCCGAAGAAAAAGCAUCGGCUAACUCCGUGCCAGCAGCCGCGGUAAUACGGAGGAUGCGAGCGUUAUCCGGAUGUAUUGGGGUUAAAGGGUGCGCAGGCGGAUUUUUAAGUCAGCGGUCAAAUCGUGGGGCUCAACCCCAUCCAGCCGUUGAAACUGGGGAUCUAGAGUGUGCGAGAGGUAUGCGGAAUGCGUGGUGUAGCGGUGAAAUGCAUAGAUAUCACGCAGAACCCCGAUUGCGAAGGCAGCAUACCGGUGCACAACUGACGCUCAGGCACGAAAGCGUGGGUAUCGAACAGGAUUAGAUACCCCUGUAGUC